rnacentral:tRNA from 1 species
GGGGAUGUAGCUCAGAUGGUAGAGCGCUCGCUUAGCAUGCGAGAAGUACCUGGAUCGAUACCCUGCAUCUCCA